rnacentral:rRNA from 1 species
UACGAAGGGGGCUAGCGUUGUUUGGAAUUACUGGGCGUAAAGCGUGCGCAGGCGGCUUCUCAAGUCAGGGGUGAAAGCCCAGAGCUUAACUCUGGAAUUGCCUUUGAGACUGAGAGGCUUGAGUACGGGAGAGGUGAGUGGAAUUCCCAGUGUAGAGGUGAAAUUCGUAGAUAUUGGGAAGAACACCGGUGGCGAAGGCGGCUCACUGGCCCGUAACUGACGCUCAUGCACGACAGCGUGGGGAUCAAACAGG